rnacentral:lncRNA from 1 species
CAUUAACCACCCGUGCAGGGGCAGACACCUUUAGCCGCUCCAGGAGCAGGUAGGUGAGGAGGAAGUGGCCUGUGAGGAGAGCCAGCAGGGAAGAUUGAAAGUGGAAUGACAGCCCAGGCUCAGCAUGUGGGAGCCAAGAGGACUUCAGUGUUAGCUCACUAUCUUCUGGGUGUGAACCAAUUUUGAUGCCAUGAGUAACUCUAAUGGUCAGUUUGGUCUGAGUUUGUGGAUUCCUCAAAGCAAGAGCCAGAGCUAGACUACAAGUAAGGCAAUCAUACUUAAUUAUAUUACUUUGUACCUCUGCCCUUGACCCACCUGCUGGCUUCCAACUCCCACUCUGGCCAUGAUCGCAUAACUAGGGACCCAGGUACACUUGUGUAUAGGCAGAAGGAUAGAACAGUCAGGGAAGAUAACAUUUGCUUAGGAUCAGAAAACAUGCUCCAUGCUCUCCUCCCUAAAGUCUUUGCCUUGAACGCUGAACCCCACCCUGCCUCGUACUCAAGUUCUCAAGGAUUGCCUACCUCCGUGGACCAACCCAUGGCUUGGUUGGCCAUCAUGUAGAUGUGACCCCUCCAGCCAAGCCCAGAUGCCUGCAUAACCCCAGGUCUGGCCCUGCCUGGCAAGCCUUGUACUGCCACUGCCCCAUCCAAGAAUGACAUUCUUCUCCCUGGUAUUUCCUGAAAUUUGGGGCUUCUUAAUGGUAUGGGUAGGAAGAUCUCACUUUUUUAGACUGAUCAGGAGAGGUACAGUGAACAACAAGCCAAUGGGUCUAGUCUAUUGGAAUUCCUAGGCUCUAUGAAGGCCCCUGGACAUUCUCCACAUUUACACAGUGUCAUCUUCCUAAAGAAAAGAUAGUGGGUGUACCUCAUUUUUUAGUCACCCAAAGAUACUUACCCAGGUGGUUGACUCCCAGGUGGGUUUCAAAGCCAUCAGCUGUCUUGGAAUAUGGACACAUCAUUACUCCCGCAUUGUUGAUCAGAAUAUGGAGCUGCUUUUCCUCUAUAGGGCACAACCAAAGAGAUCCUAUGGUUAGCAAGGAGUCCCCUAGCUGCCUGUAACAGACCUGCAUAAUUGCCCUUUCCCUUUGUUCAUUAGUUGUCUUUGUUGGGGUAACAUUUUGAUAGGAGUCACUUGCUCUGCCCCUUCCUUUUAAAACAAGGUAUUGCCUCAGCACUCAAUAACUAUCCUUCAUUUGGACCUAUCUCAGUGACAUCCAAUAAGCAUUGUCACUGGGUUUCUAAUGAGUAAUUUUAGUUACUCAUAUCUUCCUGGACAUUGUUCAUUCAUUUAUUCAGCAAAUGUGUACUAACUACCGACUCUGAGCCAGGUGCACUCUGCUGGGCACUAGGAAUCCAGUGGUAACACAAGCCAGACAUGGUCCCAGGAUGUCCCUCAUGGAUUUCAUAGUCCGUGGUAGAAGCUGGUCAUUUUCCAAGAUCCAGAAGAACUUGCCAGCAGCACAACUUCAUCUCAUGCCUAUGGCCACACAAGGUUGAUUCUCAGGAUGAAAGAAGAGAGUGGCAUUGUGGCCACACCUUGAUGCCAAGGUGCAAGCCCAGACAGGGAGCUAACACCUCCGACAUUCCCAUUGCUGAGGCGAAAAGAUGAUAAGGAUCCUGCCCAGUCUAUCUACCCACCAUCCUCUUGCCAAUUCCCUGUCCUGCUGGUUCAUGUGGCAGAACCUGUCUAGUGGGGUGGAUGAUGGUUCUGAUGUAAGGGCCAUAGAUGGUCUAGGGUGGAGCAGCCACUCCCAUACCCAAUUUCCUGCUUUUCUACCUACCCAUCAGGACCUCACCUGCCAGAAAGCCCUCAGCAAAGGCUCGGAUAGAUUUGGUGUCGGAUAGGUCCAAUUUCCGCACCAGCACCUGGGAGUUCUUUGUAUCCACUCGGAUUUCACUGGCAGCAGACUCCCCCUUCAGUACAUCUCUGCAGGCAAUAUAGACUCGGGCUCCUGGGUCCAAGACAAAAAAAGAGCAGUAUGUUCAUAUCCUAGGCUAUAAAGGAGGUAUAGUAAGUGAGCUUGGGACUGGGGGACAGAGCAUUCAUUCUCCCAGCCAUCCUUCAACGGUAGAGUGAACAUAUUGCCACUUCGGGCUUUUCACAGUAGUACUGUUCAGUCUUCUUGCUGUCAGUUUAAUCCCAGGCUGGGAACCUGGUUCCCAGGUUUUACAUUCUGAUAUUUAAUGUCACUUAGUAUCUCCUUUUAGAAUAACUGACUUGGCUAUACACAGACAUCGUUUUCCUUAUUUUAUUUAAUAGAGAGGGAAUAGGAAAGAAGCAGUUUAUUGGAGGCCACAGUGUAAGUUGGUGUCACAGUUGGACUUGAAUCCCAGGUUCCUUGAAUUUCUAGUCAGAGCCCCCAAGCCUAGGAGGAAACACAAAGCAAUAUGGACAGAGGCCCCAGUGGGAAGAAGGGUGGGAGGCAUGGCCCUUUGGAGACUAAAGGGGAAACACUUACCUCGGCUAGCGAGCUCUCUGGCCGUCUCCUUGCCAAUGCCCGUGUUGGCGCCAGUGAUCACCACUACCUUGCCAGGAAGCUGCACAUUUGUUCUACACACUCCACCAGCAAAGAACUUCCUAUCGGCAAGGGAAACAAGAGCAUCACGUACCAUCCUUCACGAGCUCACACUAAGAUACGUUAAAAAAAAAAAAAAAAACUCUAUCCAGCCUCAAAGAAGGGUAUCUUUAAGUUGCAGUCAGGAGACUCAUAAAAGCUAACCUUCAUAGGACAACAUUUUUCCAUGGGGCAAGGUAGUCGCCUGUUUAUCGGUGCAGGUGGGAAGAUCACUUGCCCAGAAGCCACAAAUAAUCAUAUUAGCAAACAGAGUAAAUGCUGGAGUCAGGGCCAAUGGAGACUUUCCUUGUUAGAUAAUAAAUACAUCUAGCUCUUAUCUCUAGAGGUUCCAGAGGAAAGCUUUCCCCUCUAACCUACAUUCAAAACAUAUGCAUGAUAAACAUUAGCGGAGUCAAUAUUCAGUAACCAUCAUCAUGAGUAACUGAUGAACAGCACUCUGUGGGGGGUGGCACACACAGGUACUGCUCUUAGCACUCUGGGGGAUGGCAUACACAGGUACUGAUCUUAGGCUGCCUCUCCAGUUUUAGGGAGUGGGUCAUUUCCGAGGCUUUCAGCCAUUGUAUUAGAGAUUUCAUUCUGGCCGAUGGCAAACAGAGAGAAAACCUCCUUUGUUCAGACCUCUGUGCAGAGAGCACUCUUUUACAUGAAGUUGACUUCACAGGUCCUAAAACAGAAUACGGAGGGGCAGAACUAACAUUUCCUGCACAUCAUCUGACUGCCAAUUACUAGUCUAGGCACUUUCCAUAUGUAAUUUAUUUUAAUCCUCUCAACUUCUCCAGUAUUAUUUCCACAUUACAGUAGAGAAAACUGAGGCUCAGGGAGGUUCAUGUCACAUAGUGGUGGCAGAAGUGGGACUUGAACCCAGAUCUCUAUGGAGAACCUAGAAUAACACUGUCCUUGGUAGGUCCAUUUAACCUCCUUUAUCAUAAGAAAUUUUUUAGGCUGAGCCCAGUGGCUCAUGCCUGUAAUCCCAACAUCUUGGGAGGCCAACGUGGGAUGGUCGCUUAAGCCCAGGAGUUUGAGACCAGCCUGGGCAACAUAGUGAGACCCCCAUCUCCACAAAAAAUUUAAAAAGUAGCUGGGUGUAGUGGCACCUGCCUAUAUUCCCAACUACUUGGGAGGCUGAGGCAGGAGGGUUGCUUGAGCCCAAGAGUUCAAGGCUGCAGUGACCUAUGACUACACCAAUGCACUCCACCCUGGGGUGACAGAGCAAAAAUUAAAAAAGAGAAAUUUAAAAAUUCUCCACUCAGAACACACUUUUAUUUGACACCUCUAGAAAUCCCACAGCAAAAAAGCCAUCCCAAAACAUUAAUUGAGGGUAGUCUCAAAGGCAGAAGAGUUUGUUUCUUUCCCAAACUACCUGGUACUUAACAGCAUGACAAGCCAGCAGGGCCACCCUGAAUAGGGACAGAGUCUCCGAGUUCUUCAGAGACACCCAAAGGAAUAAAAUGAAAACGCAAGGACUCCCACCUAAGGUGUUUGUUGAGCUACUUGACAGAGUCAUCCAUGCAGCCUUCCGCUGGCAGUAGAACUCUCCCCAGAGCUCAGGUGGGGCCAGAACUCAGCCCCACCUCUGCCCGGCCGCAGAUGCUUCCUUCUGGUUUUCCACCAUGGUAUCCACAACACCCCCUUCCUUCCUGCUUUUCCUGCCCUGACUUUCUCCUCUGUCAGCCUCCUUCCCUUUCUCUUCUUUCAGCAGCUGAGAACCGGCUUCCAGUGCAGGUCUUUGUAAACGAUUGUUUGAGUUGCUGAAUUAAGACAAACCUGAUGGAUGGAGCUACCAUAUACAGGAACGAGAAGAAGGAGGAAUUGUGCAACAUACUAGGAAGACACAGUUUCUGCCCCUGGGGAAACCCAUGGACCUGACCAACAGAACAAGGAGUGAUCAGAUCAUUCCCAGCAGACACUUCUUGACUCAAAUCUAAGAUCCUUGCAUUUAAGAAGAUGGUACUCACCUUAGCUUGAGCUUGUCCAGGAAGCAGAGAGUCCUUAAGAACAGCAUACAGUCCUCUGGAGAGAAGAUAUUAGAAGGACCAUAAGGCAUCUAGAAUUAUGAAAAUACACAAACACUUUGCUAAAAUAAAAUGUUAAAUAUUAUAAUCCAAAGGCCACCAUCAUAUCAUUGAUAAGUUGUACCAAAAUGCUAAACCAUACUACUAAGUACAGGUAGGUGAAUAGGCAGACAAAUCAAUAGAACAGAAUGGAAAGGCAAGAAAUAGACCCAAAUACACAUGGGCAUUUAGAUAUGAUGAAAAUGCCAUUUCAAAUCAGUGGAAGGGACAGAUGAUUUAAUUAACAAAGUAUUGUGGCACCUAGGUAUCCAGCUGGGAAAAAGCAAACUUGAUCCUUCCAAAAUUCGAAUACCUCAAAGACGUAAGUAUGAGAAAUGAAACCACUGAAGUAUUAAGAAGAACCACUGGACACAUUUUUAGAGUGGUAAGACCUUUCUAGUAAGACAGGAAACUGAAAACUAAAACUUAAAAAAUGAGCAUGACAAAAACCAUCAUACACAAGGCAAGAUAAAUGAGAAACUGGGGGGAAAUAUUCAUAACAGGCUUUGAAGACAAGAGACUAAUUGAUUUAGUAGAUAAAGAACUCUUACAAAUCAGUAAGAAAAGGAAUAACAACCCAAUUGAAAUAGCAGUUUACAAAAAAGGAAAUACAAGUGGCUCUUCACCCUCACUCAUAUGAGAGAUGCAAAUUAAAAUUAUACUGGGAGCCACUUUUCACUUAUCAGAUUGCCAAAGGUCAAAAAGAUUGUAGUAUGAUCCACUGGCAAGCAUGUGAAGAAAUAAUGCUGAUGCAUUGCUCGUGGGAGAGUCCAUUGUUAAAGCCUCCAUAGAGAGAAGUGUUGUAAUGUCUAGUAAAGCUGUGCAUGCACUCAUUCACCUAAACAUUCGACUUCCAUGUAUUUAUAAGGUUACCAUUAUAGCAUUGUAUAUUAUAGCAGAAGUUUGGAAACCUCCUAAAUGUCCAUCAAUAGUAAAGCCACAUAAUAGAUAGUAUACAGCUGUAAAAAAAGAAUAAAUAAUUAAGAAACAGAAUAAAUAAAAAACUUAAGUAAAUAAACAUUAAAUUUUGGUUGGGCACUGUGGCUUACAUCUGUAAUUCCUGCACUUUGGGAAACCGAGGCAGGAGGAUCACGUGAGACCAGAAGUUCAAGACCAACCUGGGCAACAUAGUGAGACCCCGUCUCUACAAAAAGGAAAACUAAAAAUUAGCUGGCCUGGUGGCACACACCUGUGGUCCCAGCUACUUGGGAGGCUGAGGCAGGAGGAUCACUUGAGCCCAGGAGGUUGAGGCUGCAUUGAGCCAUGAUCAUGCCACUACACUCCAGCCUGGGCAACAGAGCAAGACCCUGUCUCUAAAAAAAAGAAAAGAAAAAAUAAAUAAACUUUUCAGCAAAAAGACCCUGAUAACCUGCAGGACACAUUUCACAGGCUUCCAAAUGAACUGCUUGGAAAAGGUCUUAAGACUGAUGGCUUACAUCCUGUCUCUGAGUAAAGAAUCUUAUCGUGAGGCACUCAAAUUCUAUUGCGAGUUCCUCAAACUAUGUAUUUAUUAAUUGUCAGGUUACUGAUUAAUACUGACAUUGAAAGGGACAUUGUUUUCUUUCUAAAUCAUAAAGCUCUGCUGAUUUGUUUUUACUGAUUGUCUUGUGCAUAAAACAUUUUAGCCUGUACGCUGUCAUCCAUAGGCAAUGAUUGUAACCUCUGUAUUGUACCCUCCAAUGGAAAAGGAUAACUCCGAUAUGAGGAGUCCCCCUUCCUUCUCCUAAACAGUCUUAUAAAAGCAUUCCAACUUGUAACAGAUGUUGGAACAUGCCCAACUUUGUUGGUGUAUCUUACUGGAUAAAUUCUCACAUUUGGCUUCCAAUAAACUUUUAUCAAUUUAUCUCUGCCCCAAUGGCCUUAAUUUCUGUUGAAAACCGUAUCAUUU